rnacentral:lncRNA from 1 species
CUGGACUAAUUUGAAAGUUUUACUGGAAUUAACCUGAUUUGCCAAUUCAAGACUACAAUAACCAUAAAAUACAUCUUCCAAGUGAGAGAUUACAUUUACAAUGCAACAUAUUUAGCUAGAGGAGGUCUCAACACUGAUGAAAAACAGGAACACAUUGAAAUACUGCCACAAUUGCUAUCUGGAGUUAGCAUUUGCCACUUUAAAUGUAGACAUACGUAAAGCAGAGCUCAAUAUCAUAAUGCUCAGCCUAAUUCCCAGUUUCAGGCAAAACACACAAGGAAAAAUAUGCAGCCUCAGAGUAUUAAAUAUAAAAGCUCAUUAAGAUGGAGAAAUCGAAGAGAAAGAGAAAAUAAAACAAAGUGCCACAAAGUUACUAUAGCAAAUGAUCACCUAUAGGGAGAGAAAAGGCCACUUAGGGAAAAGAGUUAAAUGCCUUUUAAUGAGAUACUGACCCAAGCAUUCCCAUGCAAGCAUAAAUGUGCCAGCCCACACAAUGCAUACACAAACAUGUAUUUACAAGCAUAAAAGAAGGCACUCAACAUGUUUCACAAGAUUCCAGAUAAACUAAAUUCCAUUUUAUUCAUGACUUUGACAACAUUAAUGGGUUCAAAAGACAUCACAUCUAAAGGAGGACCUGCAUUUCCCCUUAUUAAAGUAGAGACAAUUGUUUGUUUUAAGGGUUCAGCACACGAAACACAUGCACUUAACGCAGAAAACUUUUAUGAAUUAUUGCUAAUAAUAGGAGUAACUUAGGCAAUCUAUUGUUCGUUUCAAGUCUUCUACUAAUAGUAAGAGCUUCUUCACCUAUUGCAUAACAUAGCAUAUGAAACAAAAGUCAUUCUAAG